AACGCACAUUGCGCCCCCUGGCAUUCCGGGGGGCAUGCCUGUCCGAGCGUCAUUUCUGCCCUCCAGCCCGGCUGGGUGUUGGGCGCUGUCCCCCCGGGGACACGCCCCAAAGGCAGUGGCGGCGCCGCGUCGGGUCCUCGAGCGUAUGGGGCUUUGUCACCUGCUCGGGAAGGACUCGUCGGCGCUGGUCUUCCUCCAGGCGACCCUUCGGGGCUCGUCUUCCUUCGGUUGACCUCGGAUCAGGUAGGGUUACCCGCUGAACUUAA
rnacentral:misc_RNA from 3 species